UACAGAGGGUGCGAGCGUUGUCCGGAAUCACUGGGCGUAAAGGGCGCGUAGGUGGCACGACAAGUCAGUGGUGAAAGCUCGACGCUCAACGUCGAGUCGGCCACUGAUACUGUUGAGCUGGAGCACUGUAGAGGCUAAUGGAAUUCCGGGUGUAGCGGUGGAAUGCGUAGAGAUCCGGAAGAACACCGGUGGCGAAGGCGAUUAGCUGGGCAGUUGCUGACACUGAGGCGCGACAGCGUGGGGAGCAAACGGG
rnacentral:rRNA from 1 species